AAUAGCACGUGACCCAAAACCACACCCCCUCUUCGCCUCUGUCUCUCUCUCUCUCUCUCUCUCUCUGUAACUUCAGAUCAUCGCUAGCCUACCACUCUCUCUCUCUCACACUAUGUUUAUCCUUUCUGGUUCGCCAUCCACCACAUUCUUCAGGCCUAGGGUUUCGUCUUCGUCUCUCUCCUCCUCUUCUUCUUCUUCUUCUUCUUCUUCUUCAUUAUCAUCCUCUUAUAGGCUGUGUUUGGUCUCUGUGAGAUCGAGUGCGCGAAAGAGCUCUGCUUGUCCUUGCCUGUUUUACUCCUUGAAGGUGAGUGCUAUGGCAGAGCUGGUGAAGGAUACGGAAUCGUCUUUAUCGCCCAUUCAGAAUGCGCAGAGGAGGGAGACUAACCAUUCUCGUACGUUUCUCAAUACCACCACUGAAGAAGAGCUGCUGUGUGCAAUAAGGAAGGAAACAGAAGCUGGAAGGCUUCCCUCAAACGUUGCUUCGGGAAUGGAAGAAUUAUAUCGGAAUUAUAAAAAUGCUAUUCUCCAAAGUGGAAAUCCCAAGGCAGAUGAGAUUGUGUUGUCCAAUAUGACUGCUGUAUUAGAUCGUGUAUUCUUGGAUAUAGAGGACCCAUUUGUCUUCUCCCCAUAUCACAAAGCAAUGCGAGAGCCUUUUGACUACUACAUGUUUGGUCAAAACUAUAUUCGUCCUUUAGUUGAUUUCAGAAACUCAUAUGUUGGCAAUAUUUCUGUUUUCAAAGAUAUUGAAGAGAAGAUUCAACAGGGUCACAACAUUUUUUUGAUAUCAAACCACCAAACUGAAGCAGAUCCAGCUGUCAUUGCCUUAUUGCUUGAAACAACAAACUCAUAUCUUUCUGAGAACAUGACCUACAUAGCAGGAGAUAGAGUUGUGACAGAUCCUCUUUGUAAGCCCUUCAGCAUGGGAAGGAAUCUGAUAUGUGUGUACUCAAAGAAGCACAUGAAUGAUGUUCCUGAGCUUACUGAAAUGAAAAGAAAAGCAAAUACGCGGAGUUUGAAGGAAAUGGCUUUGCUGUUGAGGGGUGGGUCGCAAAUUGUAUGGAUUGCACCUAGUGGUGGAAGGGACCGGCCAGAUCCUGUAACAGGAGAAUGGUACCCAGCACCUUUUGAUGCUUCUUCACUGGACAAUCUAAGAAGGCUUGCUGAACAUUCUGCUGCUCCAGGGCAUAUAUAUCCCUUAGCAUUGUUGUGCCACAACAUCAUGCCCCCACCGCUCCAGGUGGAAAAAGAAAUUGGAGAGAAGAGAAUGAUCUCCUUCCAUGGUACUGGAUUGUCGGUUGCACCAGAAAUCACCUUUUCUGAUAUUUCUGCUUCCUGUCAAAAUCCUGAAGAGGCUAGGGAGACAUACACACAAGCUCUGUAUAAAAUUGUUACUGAACAGUACAAUGUGCUCAAAUCUGCUAUACAUUGCAAACAAGGGCUAAAGGCAUCUACGCCAAAUGUUUCUUUGUCACAACCAUGGAAUUAGUCUAUCUUUAAACAUAUUUGCCUUCUUACUUAGCUUUAAUAAUCAGUGAAAUGUAUCUAGUUUUUAACUUUUCUAUAAACGGGAAAAAGUUGGCUGGCAGCAUGUUUUACAGCGUUUAAGAGUAUCGUGUUCAUGAAAUCCCUAAUACAGAAUCUGGAAAAUCAAUGAAAGAUUAGGACUUUACCUUAAUUUUGCAAGUCCUGACCACAAAAGGCCACUGGUCCUUCGAACACAAGUAUGCACUGUGCCAAGAAGAUUUAAUUGAAGCUGAUGACAAACAUAAGUUCAACGUCAUUUAGAUGGAGAUUCUUUUUGUUCAUACGGUUUAGGCAAGAGCUGGAUUCUUUGGAAAUUGAAGCUGUCUGGCAAGGGUUCGGUUUUUAGGUGUAUACUGUAGAUAUGGGGCCAGUUGUUGAUGAGCAAUGUAAAUUGAACUUUAGAUGUUAUUUUUAAAUCAAUAGCUCUUUCUCUAGCACCUGAGAAAUCUUAAAAGUUUCAAGAGAACCCUAUACAGCUGAGAGAAUAUUGGUGACUGCCUGCCAGAGAGGCAAUUGCCGUCUCAUGUUCAAAUUUAUGCUGUUUGUACUAGUUUCAAAUAUUCAAUGGUUUCUUUUUCUUUAUUCAUCUUUUUAUAAGACGUUAUUAGCACAA